rnacentral:rRNA from 1 species
CCUACGGGUGGCAGCAGUGAGGAAUAUUGGUCAAUGGGCGCGAGCCUGAACCAGCCAAGUCGCGUGAGGGAUGAAGGUUCUAUGGAUCGUAAACCUCUUUUAUAAGGGAAUAAAGUGUGGGACGUGUGCGAUUUUGUAUGUACCUUAUGAAUAAGGAUAGGCUAACUCCGUGCCAGCAGCCGCGGUAAUACGGAGGAUCCGAGCGUUAUCCGGAUUUAUUGGGGUUAAAGGGUGCGUAGGCGGGAUUUUAAGUCAGCGGUGAAAGUCUGGGGCUCAACCCUAGAAUUGCCGUUGAUACUGGGGGUCUUUAGUAUGUUUGAGGCAGGCGGAAUGCGUGGUGUAGCGUUGA